rnacentral:rRNA from 1 species
UGGCUGUACCAGCUUGUUAAAAGCCUGAUCUCAUCUGAUGUCAGAAGCUAAACAGGUCAGGUCUGGUUAGUACUUGGAUGUGAAACUGGUGAGAAUACCAGGUGCAAAAUCGG